rnacentral:rRNA from 1 species
CAGGAUGAACGCUGGCGGCGUGCUUAACACAUGCAAGUCGAACGAAGCAACUUAUUACGAUCCCUUCGGGGUGACGAUUGUUGACUGAGUGGCGGACGGGUGAGUAACGCGUGGGUAACCUACCUUGUACAGGGGGACAACAGUUGGAAACGACUGCUAAUACCGCAUAAGCGCACAGCUUCGCAUGAAGCAGUGUGAAAAGUUUUUCGGUACAAGAUGGACCCCGCGUCUGAUUAGCUAGUUGGUGAGGUAACGGCCCACCAAGGCGACGAUCAGUAGCCGACCUGAGAGGGUGACCGGCCACAUUGGGACUGAGACACGGCCCAAACUCCUACGGGAGGCAGCAGUGGGGAAUAUUGCACAAUGGGCGAAAGCCUGAUGCAGCCGACGCCGCGUGAGCGAAGAAGUAUUUCGGUAUGUAAAGCUCUAUCAGCAGGGAAGAUAAUGACGGUACCUGACUAAGAAGCACCGGCUAAAUACGUGCCAGCCGCGGC